rnacentral:rRNA from 1 species
UACGUAGGGUGCAAGCGUUGUCCGGAGUUAUUGGGCGUAAAGAGCUCGUAGGCGGUCUGUCACGCGGCUGUGAAAACCCGAGGCUCAACCUCGGGCCUGCAGUCGAUACGGGCAAACUAGAGUACUGCAGGGGAGACUGGAAUUCCUGGUGUAGCGGUGAAAUGCGCAGAUAUCAGGAGGAACACCGGUGGCGAAGGCGGGUCUCUGGGCCGAUAUUGACGCUGGAGGAGCGAAAGCCGUGGGGAGCGAACAGG